UCUGACCGUGCAAAGGUAGCGUAAUCACUUGUUCUUUAAAUGAGGACUAGUAUGAACGGCAUCACGAGGGUUAUACUGUCUCCCUACUCCACUCAGUGAAACUGAUCUCCCCGUGAAGAAGCGGGGAUGUAAAUAUAAGACGAGAAGACCCCAUGGAGCUUUAAACUCAGUUCCACCUGCCAAUUUUAGAACUUAUUAACCACGCAGCGUUGGCAGCUAGUUUUCGGUUGGGGUGACCACGGAGUAAAAUAAAACCUCCAUGACGAAAGGAACUAACAUCCUUAUCCAAAAAUUACACUUUUAAGAAUCAACAAAUUGACCACAUUGACCCAAUUAUUUGAUCAACGAACCAAGUUACCCUGGGGAUAACAGCGCAAUCCAUUUCAAGAGCCCUUAUCGACAAAUGGGUUUACGACCUCGAUGUUGGAUCAGGGUAUCCCAGUGGCGCAGCCGUUACUAAAGGUUCGUUUGUUCAACGAUUAAAACCUUACGUGAUCUGAGUUCGAACCGGAGAAA
rnacentral:rRNA from 1 species